GAUGAACGCUGGCGGCGUGCCUAAUACAUGCAAGUCGAGCGAACGGACGAGAAGCUUGCUUCUCUGAUGUUAGCGGCGGACGGGUGAGUAACACGUGGAUAACCUACCUAUAAGACUGGGAUAACUUCGGGAAACCGGAGCUAAUACCGGAUGAUAUUUUGAACCGCAUGGUUCAAAAGUGAAAGACGGUCUUGCUGUCACUUAUAGAUGGAUCCGCGCUGCAUUAGCUAGUUGGUAAGGUAACGGCUUACCAAGGCAACGAUGCAUAGCCGACCUGAGAGGGGAAUGGGCCCCACGGAACGUGAACCACGGCCCGAACCCUAAGGGAGGGCGCAGGAGGGAAAUCUUCGGCAAUGGGCGAAAGCCGAACGAGGCACCGCGGGGGAGGUGAUGAGGUCCUUCGGUUGGAAAACUCUGUUAUUAGGGAAGAACAUAUGUGUAAGUAACUGUGCACAUCUUGACGGUACCUAAUCAGAAAGCCACGGCUAACUACGUG
rnacentral:rRNA from 1 species